CGAUUAAGCCGAGCUCCGCGCUCGCACCGUUUUGACGGAAUCAAUAGUUUCGACAACUUUGGUUUCGUCGGACGACAGAUUAAGCCGAGCUCCGCGCUCGCACCGUUUUGACGAAAUCAAUAGUUUCGACAACUUUGGUUUCGUCGGACGACAGAUUAAGCCGAGCUCCGCGCUCGCACCGCUUCGACGAAAUCAAUAGUUUCGACAACUUUGGUUUCGUCGGACGACAGAUUAAGCCGAGCUCCCCGCUCGCACCGCUUCGACGGAAUCAAUAGUUUCGACAACUUUGGUUUCGUCGGACGACAGAUUAAGCCGAGCUCCGCGCUCGCACCGUUUUGACGGAAUCUAGUUUCGACAACUUUG